UACAGAGGGUGCGAGCGUUGUCCGGAAUUACUGGGCGUAAAGGGCGCGUAGGCGGCCUGAUAAGUAGGGGGUGAAAUUCCGUGGCUCAACCACGGAACUGCCUUCUAAACUGCCAGGCUUGAGCACGGUAGAGGCAGAUGGAAUUCCCGGUGUAGCGGUGGAAUGCGUAGAGAUCGGGAAGAACACCAGUGGCGAAGGCGGCACUCUGGGACGGUACUGACGCUGAGACGCGAAAGCGUGGGGAGCGAACAGG
rnacentral:rRNA from 1 species